UUAUUUCCCGAUUUUCCGUUUGCCGGAAGCGAAAGACUGGGAAGUAAACUCAAGCAAUCAGAAAACGGCUAUCGGCUAAAUUGAAUUAUCGUGUAUUUUACAGACCUAAGACAAAUACAUAGUUUAUACCAAGUCCUGAUAAUAAUUGGCUUAGCUGGCAUGCUAUUUCUCUUAAUAUUUGCACUUGGAAAGCUUGUAUUUACCUUUUGAAGGCACAUUAUAUUAAUUUGAACGUUUAAUGCGCAAAAACGUGUUAUAUUUAUGGCUUCAUUAAAAAGAAGAUUUUAAAGUACCAAAUUAUCAGCUUGAAUUGGUAUGUUUGUGGUAUUCUUUUCAUACAGCAGAAGAAAAGUGAGUUGCGAAGAUUGCGUACAAUGAGAGCGAGAGAUGUUAUCUUUCAAUACGUGAGAUAAAAAGAAGAAAGCAAAACUUCAUCCCGCGUUGUUAUUGUUUUUCUGUCAAAAAUUUGAAGCUGUUUUAUAAAUCUUGAUAAAGUUAAUAAGUUGUUUUCGUUUCUGUAGAUUGUUUGUUUUUGUUUAUUGUUUCCCGUGAGUUUUCGAAAUUCAUUGCAGCAGAUUCAUUGGCUUCAAGAAAUCGGUUUUCAUAACUAGUGCCGUUAUUUUUACGUGAAAAAGAACCCACAAGCUGCUUCGUUCGCCUUCUUAUCUCCGAAAGUUAUCUGCGUUCCGAAUAUUAUUUUCCGGUUGAAAGAGUGUACCUUACGACGCGCAUCCCCUUAAUUCGUCACAUUUUCGCACACUACGGAUCGUACAACUCGAUGUAUUGCAUUUCUUUCAAAAUAAGGGUUUUAACUUUAUGAAAGUAUAACUCUGCAUGGAUUUUGGCGCUAAAAGCUUCAUCAAUGUUGGAUUUACGUCAGCCACCA